rnacentral:rRNA from 1 species
UACGUAGGUGGCAAGCGUUGUUCGGAAUUAUUGGGCGUAAAGGGUGCGUAGGCGGUCCUACAAGUCAGAGGUGAAAGGCUACGGCUCAACCGUAGUAAGCCUUUGAAACUGUAGGACUUGAGUGCAGGAGAGGAGAGUGGAAUUCCCAGUGUAGCGGUGAAAUGCGUAGAUAUUGGGAGGAACACCAGUUGCGAAGGCGGCUCACUGGACUGGUAUUGACGCUGAGGCGCGAAAGCUAGGGGAGCAAACGGG